rnacentral:tRNA from 1 species
CUCGGGUUAGCUCAGCUGGAUAGAGCAACGGUCUUCUAAACCGUAGGUCGGGCGUUCGAAUCGCCCACUCGAGA